GAUGAACGCUGACAGAAUGCUUAACACAUGCAAGUCUUUGGCGAAGCUGUGCUUGCACAGCCUAGCCAAGGCGGACGGGUGAGUAACGCGUAAGGAACUUGCCCUGCAGUCAGGGAUAACAGACGGAAACGACUGAUAAGACCUGGUAAAGUCAGGCGGACUCAUGUCCAGCCUGAUGAAAAGUGAUGCUGCAGGAGAGCCUUGCGUCCUAUUAGCUUGUUGGUGGGGUAACGGCCCACCAAGGCGAUGAUAGGUAGCCGGCCUGAGAGGGUGGACGGCCACAAGGGGACUGAGAUACGGCCCUUACUCCUACGGGAGGCAGCAGUGGGGAAUAGUGGACAAUGGGGGCAACCCUGAUACAGCAAUUCUGUGUGCACGAUGAAGGUUUUCGGAUUGUAAAGUGCUUUCAGCAGGGAAGAAAAAAAUGACGGUACCUGCAGAAGAAGCGACGGCUAAAUACGUG
rnacentral:rRNA from 1 species